GAUGAACGCUAGCUACAGGCUUAACACAUGCAAGUCGAGGGACCGGCGCACGGGUGAGUAACACGUAUCCAACCUGCCCUUUAUCCGGGAUAGCCCUUUCAAAGGAAGAUUAAAUACCCAAAUAAAAGGUGGGGAUGCGUUUCCUUAGGUUGUUGGGGAGGUAACGGCCCACCAAGCCCUUGAUGGAUAGGGGUUCUGAGAGGAAGGUCCCCCACAUUGGAACUGAGACACGGUCCAAACUCCUACGGGAGGCAGCAGUGAGGAAUAUUGGUCAAUGGGCGGUAGCCUGAACCAGCCAAGUAGCGUGAAGGAUGAAGGCUUAUGGGUCGUAAACUUCUUUUAUAUAAGAAUAUGUAUUAUAUGAAUAAGGAUCGGCUAACUCCGUGCCAGCAGCCGCGGUAAUAC
rnacentral:rRNA from 1 species